rnacentral:rRNA from 1 species
AUUGAACGCUGGCGGCAUGCCUUACACAUGCAAGUCGAACGGCAGCAUGGAGAGCUUGCUCUCUGAUGGCGAGUGGCGAACGGGUGAGUAAAGCAUCGGAACGUACCGUGUAGUGGAGGAUAACGUAGCGAAAGUUACGCUAAUACCGCAUACGUACUGAGGUAGAAAGCAGGGGAUCGUAAGACCUUGCGCUAUACGAGCGGCCGAUGUCAGAUUAGGUAGUUGGUGGGGUAAAGGCUAACCAAGCCAACGAUCUGUAGCUGGUCUGAGAGGACGACCAGCCACACUGGGACUGAGACACGGCCCAGACUCCUACGGGAGGCAGCAGUGGGGAAUUUUGGACAAUGGGGGCAACCCUGAUCCAGCAAUGCCGCGUGCAGGAAGAAGGCCUUCGGGUUGUAAACUGCUUUUGUACGGAACGAAACGGUUUGGGUUAAUACCCUGGGCUAAUGACGGUACCGUAAGAAUAAGCACCGGCUAACUACGUGCCAGCAGCCGCAGUAAUAC